rnacentral:rRNA from 1 species
GGACUGGGAUAACCCUGGGAAACUGGGGAUAAUACUAGAUAGGCAAUUUUUCCUGGAAUGGUUUUUUGUUUAAAUGUUUUUUCGCCUAAGGAUGGGUCUGCGGCCGAUUAGGUAGUUGGUUAGGUAACGGCUUACCAAGCCAUUGAUCGGUACGGGUUGUGAGAGCAAGAGCCCGGAGAUGGAACCUGAGACAAGGUUCCAGGCCCUACGGGGUGCAGCAGGCGCGAAACCUCCGCAAUGUGAGAAAUCGCGACGGGGGGAUCCCAAGUGCCAUUCUUAACGGGAUGGCUUUUCAUUAGUGUAAAGAGCUUUUGGAAUAAGGGCUGGGCAAGACCGGUGCCAGCCGCCGCGGUAACACCGGCAGCUCUAGUGGUAGCAGUUUUUAUUGGGCCUAAAGCGUCCGUAGCCGGUUUAAUAAGUCUCUGGUGAAAUCCUGUAGCUUAACUGUGGGAAUUGCUGGAGAUACUAUUAGACUUGAGACCGGGAGAGGUUAGAGGUACUCCCAGGGUAGAGGUGAAAUUCUGUAAUCCUGGGAGGACCGCCUGUUGCGAAGGCGUCUAACUGGAACGGUUCUGACGGUGAGGGACGAAAGUUAGGGGCGCGAACCGGAUUAGAUACCCGGGUAGUCCUAACUGUAAACGAUGCGGACUUGGUGUUGGGGUGGCUUUGAGCUGCUCCAGUGCCGAAGGGAAGCUGUUAAGUCCGCCGCCUGGGAAGUACGGUCGCAAGACUGAAACUUA